rnacentral:rRNA from 1 species
GAUGAACGCUGGCGGCGUGCCUAAUACAUGCAAGUCGAGCGAACAGAUAAGGAGCUUGCUCCUUUGACGUUAGCGGCGGACGGGUGAGUAACACGUGGAUAACCUACCUAUAAGACUGGGAUAACUUCGGGAAACCGGAGCUAAUACCGGAUAACAUAUUGAACCGCAUGGUUCAAUAGUGAAAGGCGGCUUUGCUGUCACUUAUAGAUGGAUCCGCGCCGUAUUAGCUAGUUGGUAAGGUAACGGCUUACCAAGGCAACGAUACGUAGCCGACCUGAGAGGGUGAUCGGCCACACUGGAACUGAGACACGGUCCAGACUCCUACGGGAGGCAGCAGUAGGGAAUCUUCCGCAAUGGGCGAAAGCCUGACGGAGCAACGCCGCGUGAGUGAUGAAGGUCUUCGGAUCGUAAAACUCUGUUAUCAGGGAAGAACAAAUGUGUAAGUAACUGUGCACAUCUUGGCGGUACCUGAUCAGAAAGCCACGGCUAACUACGUG